rnacentral:misc_RNA from 1 species
UGAAUUUUAUGCCCCUUGGUGUGGACAUUGCAAGAAGCUAGCUCCUAUCUUAGAUGAAGUUGCUACCACGUUCAAAGAUGAUGAUGAUGUGGUAAUUGCAAAGAUGGAUGCUACUGCAAAUGAUGUCUCCUCUGAAUUUGAGGUGCGUGGUUAUCCUACUUUGUAUUUCUCUUCAGCAAGUGGCAAUCUCGUGCAGUAUGACGGUGGUAGGACAGCAGAGGAGAUAAUUAAUUUCAUACAAAAGAGUAUGGGUGUAGUCAACGAAAGCGAGCCUAUAAAAGAUGAGCCUGUAAAAGAUGAGCUGUGAUGGUUAGGAGUAAGCUUGACACCCGUGGAGGGAAGAGAAGCUUGCAUGAGUUUGCUAUGCCGCGGUUAGGGUUAUUUUAGUCGCUAGUCCUCCUGUAUCAAUAAAUGCUGCUAGGGAUGCAGCACCUUGUAAUCCUGUGACUCUGGUUUUUCGGAUUCAACGAAAAUUUAGUUUUGC